rnacentral:lncRNA from 1 species
GAGGGUGGCCUUAAACCUAUCACUGCCUGUGUGGACACCGAGAGGAGCCUCUGGUGCUGGCGAGGGCGUACACAAGCCUCCUGUGACUUGAGAACUUGGCCUCUCCUCUCACAAUGGCUCUCAGACCAGUGAGACUCUGGGAUGGGAAGAGAGCCCAUCCCUGAUCCACUGGUUAUUGUCAUGACUGGGUAUACUCUUUGCCAGGGGCUAGGACUCCAUUUCCUUAAAGACCCAAGCAGGGCAGUCCUCAAGGAGCCGGCACGUGGGCAGUACUGCGCAGGGUCCUGUGGCGAUGCUAAGAAAUGGAAAGGGCUGUCUUUGUUUCCUCUUUGCCUGCUGUUAGCCUAACCAUGCUGUGUGGUUGUGACCUUUUGUUUGGGGUUUCUAGUCUUGUUUGGGUCGACUCUUAGAAACUGGCUUCAGUCCCUGAGGGAGCUGCAUCUGCCCUUUCCCCAGAAGUAUUGUUUUAGAAUACAUCAGUAUUGUCUGCUGUCUUCCGUGUGAACAUGACAUUGAUUCAUGG